rnacentral:rRNA from 1 species
CCCUUAGAUGUUCUGGGCCGCACGCGCGCUACACUGAUGCAUUCAACGAGUUUCUUCCUGGUCCGAGAGGAAUGGGUAACCUUUUGAAAGUGCAUCGUGAUAGGGAUAGACUAUUGCAAUUAUUGGUCUUCAACGAGGAAUUCCUAGUAGACGUAGUUCAUCAGACUGCAUCGAUUACGUCCCUGCCCUUUGUACACACCGCCCGUCGCUCCUACCAAUUGAAUGCUCAGGUGAGCCAUUCGGACUUUCAUCAUGCUGGUUUCCAGUUUUGAUGAAGGAAAGUCUUGCGAACCUUAUCAUUUAGAGGAAGGAGAAGUCGUAACA